rnacentral:rRNA from 1 species
GACGAACGCUGGCGGCGUGCCUAAUACAUGCAAGUAGAACGCACAGUUUAUACCGUAGCUUGCUACACCAUAAACUGUGAGUUGCGAACGGGUGAGUAACGCGUAGGUAACCUGCCUGGUAGCGGGGGAUAACUAUUGGAAACGAUAGCUAAUACCGCAUAAUAUUGAUUAUUGCAUGAUAAUUGAUUGAAAGAUGCUAUUGCAUCACUACCAGAUGGACCUGCGUUGUAUUAGCUAGUAGGUGAGGUAACGGCUCACCUAGGCGACGAUACAUAGCCGACCUGAGAGGGUGAUCGGCCACACUGGGACUGAGACACGGCCCAGACUCCUACGGGAGGCAGCAGUAGGGAAUCUUCGGCAAUGGACGAAAGUCUGACCGAGCAACGCCGCGUGAGUGAAGAAGGUUUUCGGAUCGUAAAGCUCUGUUGUAAGAGAAGAACGGGUGUGAGAGUGGAAAGUUCUCACUGUGACGGUAUCUUACCAGAAAGGGACGGCUAACUACGUG